rnacentral:rRNA from 1 species
AGAGAGAGACAUGCGCGCAUAUCAAUAAGCGGAGGAAAAGAAACUAACAAGGAUUCCCUUAGUAACGGCGAGUGAAGCGGGAAGAGCUCAAAUUUGAAAUCUUCAAGGUUUUACCUUGACGAAUUGUAGUUUAAAGAAGUGUUUUCUGCUGAAGUUUUGGUAAAAGUUCUUUGGAAUAGGACAUCAUAGAGGGUGAGAAUCCCGUAUUUGACCAUUAUUUUCAGCUUUGUGAUACACUUUCAAAGAGUCGGAUUGUUUGGGAAUGCAGUCCAAAAUGGGUGGUAAAUUUCAUCUAAGGCUAAAUAUUGGCGAGAGACCGAUAGCGAACAAGUACCGUGAGGGAAAGAUGAAAAGGAACUUUGAAAAGAGAGUUAAACAGUACGUGAAAUUGUCAAAAGGGAAGCGUUUGACACCAGUGUUGUUUUCUCGAAAAUCAAUUAAAAAUGGCUCGAUUUUGUAUUGCUGAGACCUUAAAAGCUCACUGUACAUUUUUCGUGUCUUUUUUAAUGCACUUUUCGUUUAACAAGUCAACAUCAGUUUCUUUUGUUGUAAAAGGGUCAUUGGAAGGUGGCUUUCUUUUCGGAGAAAGUGUUUAUAGCCUUUGGCCUCUGCAAUCGGAGAGACUGAGGUCUGCAGCGUAGACUCUUCGGGGUUAGAUACAUUUGUGCUAAGUUAUAGCUUUUUAUAGACAACUUGUUGACUAUAAUCAGUCAUUGUAGCUUACUCGCUUAUGCUAUUUUACCUACGCUUAGGAUGUUGAGUCGUAGAGCACGCAG